UCGCCGCCCGCGACUCGGCGUGAAGUCCAUUGAACCUUAUCAUUUAGAGGAAGGAGAAGUCGUAACAAGGUUUCCGUAGGUGAACCUGCGGAAGGAUCAUUG
rnacentral:rRNA from 1 species